CUUCCGCAAUGGGCGAAAGCCUGACGGAGCGACGCCGCGUGAACGAAGAAGGCCGUGAGGUUGUAAAGUUCUUUUCGGGAGGGGGAAUGACCGUGGCAGGGAAUGGCCGCGGGAUGACGUGAAUCCCGGAAUAAGCCCCGGCUAACUACGUGCCAGCAGCCGCGGUAACACGUAGGGGGCGAGCGUUGUUCGGAAUCAUUGGGCGUAAAGGGCGUGCAGGCGGCACUGCAAGUCCGGCGUGAAAGACCCCGGCCCAACCGGGGGGGUGCGCUGGAAACUGCGGUGCUUGAGUACAGGAGGGGAUGCCGGAAUUCCAGGUGUAGGGGUGAAAUCUGUAGAUAUCUGGAAGAACACCGAUGGCGAAGGCAGGCAUCUGGCCAUGUACUGACGCUGAGACGCGAAGGUGCGGGGAGCAAACAGGUUUAGAUACCCUGGUAGUCCGCACAGUAAACGAUGUGCACCAGGUGGCGGGGGUAGAACCCCCGGUACCGUAGCAAACGCAUUAAGUGCACCGCCUGGGGAGUAUGCU
rnacentral:rRNA from 1 species